GACGAACGCUGGCGGCGUGCUUAACACAUGCAAGUCGAACGGAGUGGCGAACGGGUGAGUGACACGUGGGUGACCCGCCCUGCACUUCGGGAUAAGCCUGGGAAAAUGGGUCUAAUACCGGAUAGUGUGGGUUGGGCGCGCGGCCUAUCUGCUUGUUGGUGGGGUAAUGGCCUGCCAAGGCGGCGCCGGGUAGCCGGCCUGAGAGGGUGGACGGCCACAUUGGGCCUGAGUGACGGCCCAGACGCCUACGUGGGGCAGCGGUGGGGAAUAUUGCACAAUGGGCGGAAGCCUGAGGCAGCGACGCCGGGUGGGGGAUGACGGCCGUCGGGUUGGAAACUCCUUUCACCAUCGACGCGGUAGAUGGAGAAGAAGCACCGGCUAACUACGUGCCAGCAGCCGCGGUAAUAC
rnacentral:rRNA from 1 species